UCCGUUGUAGUCUAGCUGGUUAGGAUACCCGAGAGACAAGGGUUCGAAUCCCGGCAACGGAA
rnacentral:tRNA from 1 species